UAGUUUGGUGACUAAGGAAGA
ensembl:piRNA 21ur-5156 ncRNA